AUUUUUUAGACACUAACUUUUUUGUGAAUUUGACAUCAUUCAGUUUCUGCAUGUUUGAUUCACUACUGCGAUCACAAGUCUAAGUAUUCAGCAAUGAAGCCGUGCAUUUCAGAAACCAGCAGGAAUCCUCCAGGUAGGGCAUCUAAAAGAAAGCGAAGUUCAUCCACCCCUGAAGAGAGAAAGACUACACAAUCAGUUGAGUUGCCAGGUGACUUUUGUUAUGAAGAAAUAGUCAGGAUCGAUAUCAAUGUUCUGACCACUGUCACUCAUGCAGGUUAAAUGGACCAAAAGGAGAUUUAACUCACACCACACUGAAAAGUCAAAAUAUAUAUAUAUAAUAUAUAUAUAUAUAUAUAUAAACGGCAAAGUUAAGCCGUGACCAGUGGAAAAUAAAUGCUCACUGGGCCAGAUGAAAAGAUACAAAAGACUUUAAGAAAAUGUGAAGUAUAGAUGUGAAACCACCAGGAACCCAUCAGUCUCCAGCCUGGAUACUUCUAGUUAAAUAUCAAUAACAUUAGCCUUAUUUUAGUGUUUUGAGUUCUUUCAGUCUAUUUGUUCUCCCUUGUCAUGUGAACAGUGUAGAGGAUGUAUUUUUGGAAAAUUUGCGGAGGUGUGACUCUUGGUUUGUAUAAGAUUUAUAUUGUACAUUUUGAGGAUGUCAUAUGUUCUUUCCUUGUUAGAUUUCUUUAUUGUUUAUUUUAAUAAGAAAAAAGUAAAAAAAAAAAAAUGUUUAGCUUGA